GAUGAACGCUGGCGGCGUGCUUAACACAUGCAAGUCGAACGGAAAGGCCCCGCUUUUGUGGGGUGCUCGAGUGGCGAACGGGUGAGUAACACGUGAGUAACCUGCCCUUGACUUUGGGAUAACUUCAGGUAACUGGGGCUAAUACCGGAUAGGAGCUCCUGCUGCAUGGUGGGGGUAGGAAAGUUUCGGCGGUUGGGGAUGGACUCGCGGCUUAUCAGCUUGCUGGUGGGGUGGUGGCUUACCAAGGCUUUGACGGGUAGCCUGGCUGAGAGGGUGACCGGCCCGAUUGGAUUGGGGAUACGGCCCAGCCUCCAACGGGAGGCAGCGGUGGAGAAUAUUACACAGUGGGCUGAAGCCUGAUGCGACGACGCCGCGUGCGGGAUGACGGCCUUCGGGUUGUAAACCGCUUUCGCCUGUGACGAAGCGUGAGUGACGGUAAUGGGUAAAGAAGCACCGGCUAACUACGUG
rnacentral:rRNA from 1 species